rnacentral:rRNA from 1 species
UACGUAGGUGCAAGCGUGUCCGGAAUUAUUGGGCGUAAAGCGCGCGCAGGCGGUCCUUUAAGUCUGAUGUGAAAGCCCACGGCUCAACCGUGGAGGGUCAUUGGAAACUGGGGGACUUGAGUGCAGGAGAGAAGAGUGGAAUUCCACGUGUAGCGGUGAAAUGCGUAGAGAUGUGGAGGAACACCAGUGGCGAAGGCGACUCGCUGGGACGGUACUGACGCUGAGACGCGAAAGCGUGGGGAGCGAACAGG